rnacentral:rRNA from 1 species
CUCGUAGGCGGCCAACUAAGUCAGACGUGAAGUCCCUCGGCUUAACCGGGGAACUGCGUCUGAUACUGGGUGGCUUGAAUCCGGGAGAGGGAUGCGGAAUUCCAGGUGUAGCGGUGAAAUGCGUAGAUAUCUGGAGGAACACCGGUGGCGAAGGCGGCAUCCUGGACCGGUAUUGACGCUGAGGAGCGAAAGCCAGGGGAGCAAACG